CACCCCCCCCCCCACUCACUUAGGAAACGCAGAGGGGGUCACUACCUUCAUCAAGGGACAGUUACUGUCAUAGCGAAUGCUGCCCUCUCCCACUCUUCAGAUCUUUCCCCCGCCCUGAGGGAACCCCAACUUUUUUGCGCAUGCGUGCAGCUAAACCAGCGACGGGCAUUUUCUCCACAAAGUAGCAAGACGCGCGAGAAAGUCCUGGUGGCUGCCAUCGACGUGUCCCCAGCUCUGCAGAUCAGCAAGAGCCUGGCGGCAGAGGCGGCCCAAAGGUACCCCCGUUUCUUGGUGACACACCCGGGCCAGGCGCGCUAAGGCUGUGAGAACCACCUGCUGUUCGGUGCUGGGAACAGGCUCUGUGCUGAGCUGGUGAAGAAACACAGAUCCAGCGAGCGCAGGGCCACACAGCUACAGAGCGGGUGUGCCCCCAGGUCUCCCUGAGUCCUCAGCACCUUCCCGUGUCCUGGUGUGUGCCAGGGUGGACGCGAGACCCUGGGCAGGUCCCUUCCCCUGCUCUGCAAAUUCCCCAUCUGUGAACUCCAUGGAUGGCGGCGCCGCCUGCUGCAGGGCCAGGCGGGUCUCCUGGAACCGUCUGCCCUGGCGGUCCUCCGCCCGCCUUUUUUAGGGCACUGUGCCAGGGGCAAGGGGCGACACAAACCCUGGCCUCCCGGGGUCCCUUUGGGGACAGAGCAGUAGCCUUGGCAAGAGAGAGUGACAGGCCCGGGAGGGCGGGUCUGGGCUGGCAGGGUGCUGGAGCUGGCUCCACAGAGCAAGGGAGUGAGUCACCAGCUUCUCGCACAGCCGACACCCCGGCAGGAGGGCGAGGUUUGUUGAAUGAAUGUUCUGUAGGUUGCAAAGAGGCUGGCAGCCCUGAAGGCCAUCCCCGGCCAGGGCCCCUCCGACCAAAUCCGCUAGGAGGGGACGGGAGGGGAGGGGAGGGAAGGGGAGGGGAAGGGAGGGCGGGCCGAGGGACGCGAUUCUCCUCUGCAGCUCUCCCCGCCCAGCCCGGGCCCCUCUGGGCAUCGCAGCCCCUGGGCGGGGGUCUCGCUCUCUGCCCGGUCUGUCCCUCGCUGGACAGCUCCCCGCGGGCGGGAUCCGCCUCCCGCCCUCGCGACGGACCGGCCCCCUCCCCGAGGCCGCGCCCGGCUCUCCAGUGCCGCGGGGUUCAGACCCCCGAGGAGCCAGGCGGGGCCUGGGAGAAGCCGAGGCGGGCGCGACCCCUCCCGAGCCCCGCUGCCCGCAGCCGCGCCCCGCAAGGCGAGCCGCGCCGAGGACAGCGGACAGAGACGGGAGCAAGACGGACAGGCCGAGCGACAGCGGACGAGACUGCGACGAGGCGCGGACAGCCCCUCAGACCCGGGCGGCCAGCAGGGAGACGGGGCGGCCUGGGUGUGGCCCGGCCGACCGGGAGGCACUCACAUUCGCCGCCAUGCUGGGGCCCGAGUCGCGGCCGCCCACUCGCUCUGGUCCGGAGGACGAUCGGAGUGCAGAGUCUCGCGGCCUCUUCGCUGCCCUACCGCCGAGCAACUCCGCGUGGAGCCCGGGAUCAGGAGCAACUUGCUACGCAGUCCCCGCCCCGAGGGAACCCCAACUUUUUUGCGCAUGCGCGCAGCUAAACCAGCGGCGGGCAUUUUCUCCACAAAGUAGCAAUAUGCCCGAGAUUCACUGGCACGCCUGCGCGCCGCAAAGAGUUCCUGGGAAAUGUAGUUCCCACCUUCUGGAGGGCAGCCAAGGGGCCCCCUCAGGCUCUUGGGAAAUGUAGUUUCUGGCUGAGGAGAGCCGGGCUGGCGCUGCGAGGGCGCGGAGGCAGGCGCGCGGCGGGCAGGCCUGGAGGGGGCGGGUCUGCGCGGGCCUCACAGCCGUCUGUCUUCCCUGCCUGAGUAGAGGGAGGUCACGGCGUGACCGUCGCCACCGCCGCCGGUGCGAGGUCGAGUCGCCGGGCCGCAGCCAUGGCCUACUGCCGGCAGGAAGGAAAGGAUCGAAUCAUAUUUGUGACCAAAGAAGAUCAUGAGACGCCAAGCAAUGCGGAGCUGGUGGCUGAUGACCCCAACGAUCCCUAUGAGGAGCACGGGAAUACUUCAGCCACCCUCACUCUCCUGGAAGCCAUUCUGUUCCUAGCUGACAGCUGUCAAUCAUGAUUGGAUACUGUAUCUCACUGCUGGGCUCCCACAGGACUUGGACAAUAAAAUUUUCAUGUGAAAA